CCUACGUGUGGCAGCAGUGAGGAAUAUUGGUCAAUGGACGAGAGUCUGAACCAGCCAAGUAGCGUGAAGGAUGACUGCCCUAUGUGUUGUCAACUUCUUUUAUACGGGGAUAAAAUGUUCCACGUGUGGUGUUUUGUAUGUACCAUAUGAAUAAGGAUCGGCUAAUUCCGUGCCAGCCGCCGCUGUAAUCCGGAGGAUCCGGGCGUUAUCCGGAUUUAUUGGGUUUAAAGGGAGCGUAGGUGGAUUGUUAAGUGAGUGGUGAAAGGUGGCGGCUUAACCGUAAAACUGCAGUUGAAACUGGCAGGCUUGAGUACAGGAGAGGUGGGCGGAAUUCGUGGUGUAGCGGUGAAAUGCUUAGAUAUCACGAAGAACUCCGAUUGCGAAGGCAGCACACUGCACUGCAACUGACACUGAGGCUCGAAGGUGCGGGUAUCAAACAGGAUUAGAUACCCUUGUAGUC
rnacentral:rRNA from 1 species